rnacentral:rRNA from 2 species
UUAAAACACGUGGGGUAACCUUGCCUGUAAGAUUGGCGAUAACUCCGGGAAACCGGAGCUAAUACCGGAUAACAUUUCGAACCGCAUGGUUCGAAGUUGAAAGGUGGCUUUUGCUACCACUUACAGAUGGACCCGCGGCGCAUUAGCUAGUUGGUGAGGUAACGGCUCACCAAGGCAACGAUGCGUAGCCGACCUGAGAGGGUGAUCGGCCACACUGGGACUGAGACACGGCCCAGACUCCUACGGGAGGCAGCAGUAGGGAAUCUUCCGCAAUGGACGAAAGUCUGACGGAGCAACGCCGCGUGAGCGAAGAAGGCCUUCGGGUCGUAAAGCUCUGUUGUUAGGGAAGAACAAGUACCGUUCAAAUAGGGCGGUACCUUGACGGUACCUAACCAGAAAGCCACGGCUAACUACGUGCCAGCAGCCGCGGUAAUACGUAGGUGGCAAGCGUUGUCCGGAAUUAUUGGGCGUAAAGCGCGCGCAGGCGGUUUCUUAAGUCUGAUGUGAAAGCCCACGGCUCAACCGUGGAGGGUCAUUGGAAACUGGGGAACUUGAGUGCAGAAGAGGAGAGUGGAAUUCCACGUGUAGCGGUGAAAUGCGUAGAGAUGUGGAGGAACACCAGUGGCGAAGGCGACUCUCUGGUCUGUAACUGACGCUGAGGCGCGAAAGCGUGGGGAGCGAACAGGAUUAGAUACCCUGGUAGUCCACGCCGUAAACGAUGAGUGCUAAGUGUUAGAGGGUUUCCGCCCUUUAGUGCUGCAGCAAACGCAUUAAGCACUCCGCCUGGGGAGUACGGUCGCAAGACUGAAACUCAAAGGAAUUGACGGGGGCCCGCACAAGCGGUGGAGCAUGUGGUUUAAUUCGAAGCAACGCGAAGAACCUUACCAGGUCUUGACAUCCUUCGCUACUUCUAGAGAUAGAAGGUUCCCCUUCGGGGGACGAAGUGACAGGUGGUGCAUGGUUGUCGUCAGCUCGUGUCGUGAGAUGUUGGGUUAAGUCCCGCAACGAGCGCAACCCUUGAUCUUAGUUGCCAGCAUUCAGUUGGGCACUCUAAGGUGACUGCCGGUGACAAACCGGAGGAAGGUGGGGAUGACGUCAAAUCAUCAUGCCCCUUAUGACCUGGGCUACACACGUGCUACAAUGGAUGGUACAAAGGGCUGCAAGGCCGCGAGGUCAAGCCAAUCCCAUAAAACCAUUCUCCUUUCCCAUUGCAGGCUGCAACUCGCCUGCAUGAAGCCGGCAAUAG